CAUAAUCAAUCCAAGAGUUGGACGGAAAGAAAAGAAAAGAGAUUUGAUCUUUUAUUCUUUUAUUUAGACCUUUUUCUUUCUCUUAAGAAGAGAAAGAAAAAAAAAUCAGAUUAGAUCUGAUUUUUUGAUCAUCUUAUAGAUCUCUUUGAUUUUUUAGAGAAGAGAAUCAAAAGAGCCAAAAAAUUCGACAAUCCAAAGAGCGAUCUCUAUAAGGGAGCAGCACCCCAAUGAGAUCGAGAUCUCCUCAUCAGAUCAGCCUCAUGUGAAUACCUGUAGA
rnacentral:lncRNA from 1 species